rnacentral:rRNA from 1 species
GACGAACGCUGGCGGCGUGCUUAACACAUGCAAGUCGUACGGUAAGGCCCUUUUGGGGGUACACGAGUGGCGAACGGGUGAGUAACACGUGAGUAACCUGCCCACAACUUUGGGAUAACGCUAGGAAACUGGUGCUAAUACUGGAUAUGUGCUCCUGCUGCAUGGUGGGGGUUGGAAAGCUCCGGCGGUUGUGGAUGGACUCGCGGCCUAUCAGCUUGUUGGUGGGGUAGUGGCCUACCAAGGCGGCGACGGGUAGCUGGCCUGAGAGGGUGACCGGCCACAUUGGGACUGAGAUACGGCCCAGACGCCUACGGGUGGCAGCAGUGGGGAAGAUUGCACAAGGGGCGCAAGCCGGAUGCAGCAAGGCCGCGGGCGGGAGGACGGCCUUCGGGUUGUAAACCGCUUUCAGCAGGGACGAAGCUUUUUGUGACGGUACCUGCAGAAGAAGCACCGGCUAACUACGUG